GCUCACUUCAUCUCAGAUCUCCUACUUAGACUUUCACUUAUUAGAGCUCAAUUCUUCAUCUAGGCUACCUCAUUUCUAGGGUAUUUAAUUAAGUAUUUCUGGGGGUUUUAAUAUUCAAAUGUUUACUUGCUAAUGCUCACUCCUUACUUAACGCCUUAACAAAUGGUUUCUCUCCCUGGUCCAGGUAAAUAUGAGUUCAAGUAUUCAUACAGACAGAGGAGCCCUCAUGAAAAGAAUCCAUGUCUGAGCCCAACUUAAAUCUCUGAGUGCUAAGAGCACCUUGCUGGGAAAUUAGAGACCGUGAUUUGAGGUCCUUCUCCCUUUCCCUCAAGACACAGGACCUACAGGAUGAAAAGGUGAGGAAUAUGCCUACAGUCUCUCUGCAAGGAUCUGCAACCUCAUCCAGCCUCUUCUAUUGCCAUCAAGUCAGAUAUCAAGGGAGGCAUCCUUUCAGCUUGUGCUGUGAACUCACUUGCCCACUCAGCUACUUCAGUGAAUGUGACAAGCUGCCAGGACAAGUAUAAUGUGCUUCACCCACCAACUGUCCUUCUUAUGCUCAUUUGCACAUGGAAGAAGAAACAGGAGCCCUUUGGAUCUAUAUAACUGAAGUCCAACAAUUCACAUUUUCCCUUCAACUGGAAAUUCAGAUGUUUUCUUUUUCAUGGCCAUGAGGAGAUCAUCCACAAACAGCACUUUAUAGAGCUGUCAGCACCACCAACAUUAGAGCCUCUACCCUGGGGAAGGGAAACACUGAAAGUUCCCUCAGAGCACGCCACAUCUUUAAUACAAAUCUGCUAAAUAGAUAUUUUCAUAAUGAAUUAUUUUCUGAUGAAUGAAUAAGCUUUUUCCAAUGAGUCAG
rnacentral:lncRNA from 1 species